UACGUAGGGUGCAAGCGUUAAUCGGAAUUACUGGGCGUAAAGCGUGCGCAGGCGGCUAUGCAAGACAGAUGUGAAAUCCCCGGGCUCAACCUGGGAACUGCAUUUGUGACUGCAUGGCUAGAGUACGGUAGAGGGGGAUGGAAUUCCGCGUGUAGCAGUGAAAUGCGUAGAUAUGCGGAGGAACACCGAUGGCGAAGGCAAUCCCCUGGACCUGUACUGACGCUCAUGCACGAAAGCGUGAGGAGCAAACAGG
rnacentral:rRNA from 1 species